GCGAACGCUGGCGGCAGGCUUAACACAUGCAAGUCGAGCGGAUGUAGCAAUACAUCAGCGGCAGACGGGUGAGUAACACGUGGGAACGUACCUUUUGGUUCGGAACAACACAGGGAAACUUGUGCUAAUACCGGAUAAGCCCUUACGGGGAAAGAUUUAUCGCCGAAAGAUCGGCCCGCGUCUGAUUAGCUAGUUGGUGAGGUAAUGGCUCACCAAGGCGACGAUCAGUAGCUGGUCUGAGAGGAUGAUCAGCCACAUUGGGACUGAGACACGGCCCAAACUCCUACGGGAGGCAGCAGUGGGGAAUAUUGGACAAUGGGCGCAAGCCUGAUCCAGCCAUGCCGCGUGAGUGAUGAAGGCCCUAGGGUUGUAAAGCUCUUUUGUGCGGGAAGAUAAUGACGGUACCGCAAGAAUAAGCCCCGGCUAACUUCGUGCCAGCAGCCGCGGGUAAUACGAAGGGGGCUAGCGUUGCUCGGAAUCACUGGGCGUAAAGGGUGCGUAGGCGGGUCUUUAAGUCAGGGGUGAAAUCCUGGAGCUCAACUCCAGAACUGCCUCUGAUACUGAAGAUCUUGAGUUCGGGAGAGGUGAGUGGAACUGCGAGUGUAGAGGUGAAAUUCGUAGAUAUUCGCAAGAACACCAGUGGCGAAGGCGGCUCACUGGCCCGAUACUGACGCUGAGGCACGAAAGCGUGGGGAGUAAACAGGAUUAGAUACCCUGGGUAGUCCACGCCGUAAACGAUGAAUGCCAGCCGUUAGUGGGUUUACUCACUAGUGGCGCAGCUAACGCUUUAAGCAUUCCGCCUGGGGAGUACGGUCGCCAAGAUUAAAACUCAAAGGAAUUGACGGGGGCCCGCACAAGCGGUGGAGCAUGUGGAUUAAUUCGGUACGCAACGCGCAGAACCUUACCAGCCCUUGACAUGUCCGCGGACCGGUCGCAGAGACGUGACCUUCUCUUCGGAGCCCGGAACACAGGUGCUGCAUGGCUGUCGUCAGCUCGUGUCGUGAGAUGUUGGGUUAAGUCCCGCAACGAGCGCAACCCCCGUCCUUAGUUGCUACCAUUUAGUUGAGCACUCUAAGGAGACUGCCGGUGAUAAGCCGCGAGGAAGGUGGGGAUGACGUCAAGUCCUCAUGGCCCUUACGGGCUGGGCUACACACGUGCUACAAUGGCGGUGACAAUGGGAUGCUAAGGGGCGACCCUUCGCAAAUCUCAAAAAGCCCGUCUCAGUUCGGAUUGGGCUCUGCAACUCGAGCCCAUGAAGUUGGAAUCGCUAGUAAUCGUGGAUCAGCACGCCACGGUGAAUACGUUCCCGGGCCUUGUACACACCGCCCGUCACACCAUGGGAGUUGGUUUUACCUGAAGACGGUGCGCUAACUGCAAGGAGGCAGCCGGCCACGGUAGGGGUCAGCGACUUGGGGUG
rnacentral:rRNA from 1 species